rnacentral:rRNA from 1 species
UACGGAGGGUGCAAGCGUUGUCCGGAUUUAUUGGGGUUAAAGGGUGCGUAGGCGGCCCGGUAAGUCAGUGGUGAAAGCCUCCAGCUCAACUGGAGAACUGCCAUUGAUACUGCCGGGCUUGAGUACAGACGAGGUUGGCGGAAUUGAUUGUGUAGCGGUGAAAUGCAUAGAUACAAUCAAGAACUCCGAUUGCGUAGGCAGCUAACUAGGCUGUAACUGACGCUGAGGCACGAAAGCGUGGGGAGCAAACAGG